UACGAAGGGGGCUAGCGUUGUUCGGAAUUACUGGGCGUAAAGGGCGCGCAGGCGGUCCUUCAAGUCAGAUGUGAAAGCCCCGGGCUCAACCUGGGAACUGCAUUUGAGACUGAAGGACUAGAGUUCGGGAGUGGAUGGUGGAAUUCCCAGUGUAGAGGUGAAAUUCGUAGAUAUUGGGAAGAACACCGGUGGCGAAGGCGGCCAUCUGGACCGAUACUGACGCUGAGGCGCGAAAGCGUGGGGGGCAAACGGG
rnacentral:rRNA from 1 species